rnacentral:misc_RNA from 1 species
GAUGAAGAACGCAGCGAAACGCGAUAGUUAAUGUGAAUUGCAGAAUUCAGUGAAUCAUCGAGUUUUUGAACGCAUAUUGCGCCCUCUGGUAUUCCGGGGGGCAUGCCUGUUCGAGCGUCAUUAAAUAACCCUCAAGCAUAGCUUGGUGUUGGGCUUUUUUACGUCCUUGACUGGGAUGGGCCUAAAAAUUAGUGGCGAUGGCUUUUUUACUUUCAAGCGUAGUAAAUCUCGUCUUGCUAAAGAGGAAAAAGAUUUUUUUUCUGCCAAAAAUUUUAACAUUUAAAGUUGACCUCGGAUCAGGUAGGAUUACCCGCUGAACUUAAGCAUAUCAAUAAGCGGAGGA